UCCGGGUCCUGCCGGAAACCAGGGAGGGCAGAGCACGGGCCCCCAAAGACAAAAGUCCGAGUCUGCGCUGGGGUCCGAGGCCCGCCGCUGUAAGAGUCACGAGCUGAUCCAGGCGCUGGUCGCCCGAAGCUACUCAAGGAUGUGCUCCACCAAAAUGAAGAUAUGAAGACAAUGAAUACAAGAGACAGGCAAAGGGAGUUCCCAGGACAUAAGCAAGGGACAUCCCAGGUAGCAAGAGUGCACCUGAUGUCCAGGGCCAUCUGUCCAGGUCCUCUCUCUACUCUUCUGCAUCCUGUUCUCUGCCCAGGGAGGAUGACCUAUUUAGACAGCAGCAAAGGGCUUGCUUACCCAAGGGUACUGGCAGGAGAGAGGAAGGAGGAGAUGGAGAAAUCAAGGCGCAAAGAGGUUAAGAAGCUUGCCCAGGGUUUGCCGGGACAUAGAUGGGAGUACUAAUUCACAACUAGAUGGAGAACCUGAUACAAGCAAGCAGAACUCCGGAAGGCAACAUCUUGAGAGCCCUGAAGUGACAAUGGGAUUCUGGGAAAGUCAAUUCCCGGAGCCCAGUCUCUUUAUCUGCAAAAUGGAAAUAAUUAUUACAAUGGAGCCUCUCCUGCCUGCUGGGCGGCAUCACAGGAGACAGUGUUUUGGAAAGUCCUCUGUAUGUUCGAGGUAGCAUUAACACCACCUCCCCCUGCCCCCAGCCAAUAAGGGCCUACAAAAGAAACAGCCAGGGAAACUGAGUCGGUAAGCACUGGAUUUGGGAGUUUGAGUAUUUCCAAGCAGAAGUCAUGAGGUCAAACUUUGUAAUACUAAUAAAUAGGAAGAAGCACAGGAAUCCCAUUUCUUUGAUCAAUUUAUUAACUUUUUAGUAAAUUCUCUCUCAUCAAUUGUGCUAUAAUGAUUUUGCAUCCCAGAUAGUUUUAUACAAUAUCUUGUGUUUCAUGCUCCUUGUUCAUCAAUAUAAUGCAGUUAGUUGGCAAAACAGUUACAGGAACUGAGGUUACCCUUUCUAUUCAGCACAGAGUGGAGAUAUGGAAGGAACGUCCAGGAAUAUAUUUCUGCCUGGGUUUCGAGUAAAGGUGGCCACUGGCACCAGUUAGGGCUGGAACUCUGGGUAAUUAUGGGGCAUGCACACAGCUCCAUCCCUUUACCAUAGCAGACAUCAGUGAUCUACCACAGCACCUUUCCCCUUCUUAGACCUGGAGAUGGCCUCAGAGCCCUUCCCAACACAGUGGUAACUGGAUCAGAUCACAGUGAAAUGCAUUCGUCACGCCAUGUCUAGGCACUGAUCAGAAGCCAUGACUCUCAUUAUCAAACUGUUAAGCAGCUAUUAGGUGAUGCCCUAAUGCCCUACUGAGAAAAUUAAACCAGUAACUUACAGGUUUAUGACUUAUUCUUUCAUUUUUUGAGCUCUUACUGGUUGCACUUAAUUCAGACAAAGAAAACAGGGUAGCAGAGUUAAACCAAAUGCUUGGGUUAUAAUUCCAAAGUUCUUUUCUCUUCUUCCAGCCACACAGGAUAUUUGAUCCUUCUAAUGCCUUUAACUGUUGGCUUCAAACAACUGUGAAGAAGAGAAGGAAAUCUGACACUUUAGCUGGAUGAUGUUUAUACAGAUGCAGCUUCUUCCUUCACAUAUUUGGUUAGGAGGAGCUCAGUGAGCUGGAGGCUGAAUCUCAGGAAUGUUUAAAUAAAGUGACAUUGACACAGACCCUGAGCAACAUUUGCAAACUCCAUUCUAACCUCACUUAGAGUUGAGGUUCUUAAUCUUUGUUGGACAUGUAUUCCUUUGGCAGACUGGUGAGGUUUAUGCAUCUCGCUCAGAAUACUAUCUUUAUAUAAAACAGUAAAAGAAAAUCGGGUUAUAAAAAGAAAAUACACUGGGUAUACUAUAUAAUGCAUUUGGGUAUACUGAAAUACAGUUAUUAAAAUAUUUUUUUUAAAUCUA